rnacentral:rRNA from 1 species
UAUGGCUAUAUCAUGUUGAAACACCGGUUCUUAUAAGAUCACCAAAGUUAAGCAAUGCCAAAUCUGGUCAAUACCUAGAUGGGUGGCCGAUUGGGAAUACCAGGUGCUGUAAG